GAGAAAUCCUUAUUUGAAGUCCAGGUUACCUUCUGACUCUUCAAUUACUCCAGAAUAUGCUAUGGAAAUGGAACACAAUUCAUCUUCAUCAAGUUCCUACACUAUAGAAGCUCAAGUGAUGCCUACUUCCCUGGAAAAGAGUUCUGAUUAUUGGGGUAGUUCUGAGCAGGGUAGAUCAACAGGGCAAAUUUUCUCUAAGCCAAUUUCACAAUCAAAGGGGGUCUUGCGUGAGGAAUCAUCAUGAAGGAGUUCCUACACUACUGAUACUCCAUGUAAUCCUCCUCAGUCCAAAAAUUCAGAUAACUGGGGAAGUUCUGAGCAGCGUAGAUCAGCAGAACCAUCGAAACCGAUUAUGGAAUCUAAGAGGUACUCACAAGAGGAAAAUCUCAAGACAUCAGCCUGGGAGCAACGAUCUAAUCCUCCACUCAGAACAGUGUCAUCAGGUGCUGCUGAAAGCACUAAGGCAUCCUGUUCAAAGGAUGAUACUCUAUCCAGGGAGAAUUCCAUUAAUAAGGCCAGUCAUGUGCACCCAAAA
rnacentral:misc_RNA from 1 species